UACAACGUGUAUCACUCUCUAGAUACGCUCCACCAGGGAAGCGAGUAAGUCUGCCUUUCCCUGAAGCCUGGUAAAAUGCCAGGCAUGUAGAUGUUCAAUAAUAUUUUGUUGAGGGAAUUAAAUGGCUGCAACCUGAAGUUCCUGUCUGCCAGGGGAAACCCAAGCUUAAGGUUCUGAAACACGAGGCACCUAAUAUGGGGGGCAAAGCCGAUUAUGGGUAUUCGGACUCGAAAGUUUCUAAUAAGGCGUUUUGGGGUGGGGGGAUGCUCUCCCCACGAGAUUCCAGAAUUUCAGUAGAGGGGCUUCAAGGGCUGGUUGAAAGCUGGGUCUUCAAGCUGUAUUUGCACAGAACUAUACUAAUUUUAUUUAGAGUGCCUGUUUAUUAGAUGUACCUUGGAGAUUAUAGGGUGCCACUAAAGAAUCACUCCAAGUUAUCCCUUUGACCCCAGUCCUGUAGCGGGAGUCUCCUUAGGCUCGGAGUCCCUUCCUGCCCUACAAAAGCCCACCGGAGGCUCCGCUGAAGGGCUGCAAUCCCGACUGGAGUGAGGAAAAACAUGCUCCAGGAGGGGCGGGUGGAGACGCUUCCUUUAAUAGGUAUUUAAGUGUCCACGGUGAAGGUUCAGGAGUUUACAAGGCUAGCAGGGUUGGAGAAUCUCAACAAAGGGCGGGGCGCUGCUCAAGCUCCGUCCGUCCCUCCAUCCCUCCAUCCAUCGCGCUGCUCAAGCUUCAUCCAUCCAUCUAUCCAUCCAUCCAUCUUUUACUGAGCGUAAAAAGCCUCCAACCAGACCCUGGGAGGAAGAGAGGAUGGUUCCCGAGAACUAGGGCUGCUCCUUGGUUUUUAGAGGUAUCUACUGCUUCCAAAACCUUUUGAGACCCCAUUAUCCCGUUUGAUGAAGAAGCAGUCUGCCACGUGGGGGUUCCAGAUAAGACAGCUGAAAUUCGGAAGGGCAGGCGACUCCACCAAGUCACCGAGACGCCCUUUUUGACGCUCCAGGGACCGCAGGAUCUGGGAAGACUCCUGGUUACUCCGGCGACCGGUCGGCCGCCACAGGACGUGAGAGCCCGGGCAGAACGCCCAAGAAGCUUCCGUAGUCGGAUGGCAGGUCACGUGUCGAGGGCUUGCCCGUGGGGACCCCUCCACCCGGGCUCCCGCGUCACAUGACCGGCUUUGAGCAACAUGGCGGCUGCCGUGGUGCAGCGCCGGGGCUGAGCGACAGCAAGUGCAGCGGGCUCCUAUCCCGGGUGGGAUCGUCGGUGGGACCGGAGCGCGGGCGGGCGCGGCCCCCCGGGACCAUGGCCGGGUCCGACACCGCGCCCUUCCUCAGCCAGGCGGAUGACCCGGACGACGGGCCAGUGCCUGGCAACCCGGGGUUGCCAGGGUCCAUGGGGAACCCAAAGUCCGAGGAGCCCGAGGUCCCGGACCAGGAGGGGCUGCAGCGCAUCACCGGCCUGUCUCCUGGCCAUUCGGCUCUCAUAGUGGCGGUGCUGUGCUACAUCAAUCUCCUGAACUACAUGGACCGCUUCACCGUGGCUGGCGUCCUUCCCGAUAUCGAGCAGUUCUUCAACAUCGGGGACAGUAGCUCUGGGCUUAUCCAGACUGUGUUCAUCUCCAGUUACAUGGUGUUGGCACCUGUGUUUGGCUACCUGGGUGACAGGUACAAUCGGAAGUAUCUCAUGUGCGGGGGCAUUGCCUUCUGGUCCCUGGUGACACUGGGGUCAUCCUUCAUCCCCGGAGAGCAUUUCUGGCUGCUCCUCCUGACCCGGGGCCUGGUGGGGGUCGGGGAGGCCAGUUAUUCCACCAUUGCGCCCACUCUCAUUGCCGACCUCUUUGUGGCCGACCAGCGGAGCCGGAUGCUCAGCAUCUUCUACUUUGCCAUUCCGGUGGGCAGUGGUCUGGGCUACAUUGCAGGCUCCAAAGUGAAGGAUAUGGCUGGGGACUGGCACUGGGCUCUGAGGGUGACACCGGGUCUAGGAGUGGUGGCCGUUCUGCUGCUGUUCCUGGUAGUGCGGGAGCCGCCAAGGGGAGCUGUGGAGCGCCACUCAGAUUCGCCACCCCUGAACCCCACCUCGUGGUGGGCAGAUCUGAGGGCUCUGGCAAGAAAUCCUAGUUUCGUCCUGUCUUCCCUGGGCUUCACUGCUGUGGCCUUUGUCACGGGCUCCCUGGCUCUGUGGGCUCCGGCAUUCCUGCUGCGUUCCCGCGUGGUCCUUGGGGAGACCCCACCCUGCCUUCCCGGAGACUCCUGCUCUUCCUCUGACAGCCUCAUCUUUGGGCUCAUCACCUGCCUCACCGGAGUCCUGGGCGUGGGCCUGGGCGUGGAGAUCAGCCGCCGGCUCCGCCACUCCAAUCCUCGGGCUGAUCCCCUGGUCUGUGCCGCUGGCCUCCUGGGCUCUGCACCCUUCCUCUUCCUGUCCCUUGCCUGCGCCCGUGGUAGCAUUGUGGCCACUUAUAUUUUCAUCUUCAUUGGAGAGACCCUCCUGUCCAUGAACUGGGCCAUCGUGGCCGACAUUCUGCUGUACGUGGUGAUCCCUACGCGACGCUCCACUGCCGAGGCCUUCCAGAUCGUGCUGUCCCACCUGCUGGGCGACGCUGGGAGCCCCUACCUCAUUGGCCUGAUCUCUGACCGCCUGCGCCGGAAUUGGCCACCCUCCUUCUUGUCCGAGUUCCGGGCUCUGCAGUUCUCGCUCAUGCUCUGCGCGUUUGUCGGGGCACUGGGUGGCGCAGCCUUCCUGGGCACCGCCAUCUUCAUUGAGGGCGACCGCCGGCGGGCGCAGCUGCACGUGCAGGGCCUGCUGCAUGAAGCAGGGCCCACAGACGACCAGAUUGUGGUGCCCCAGCGGGGCCGCUCCACCCGCGUGCCCGUGGCCAGCGUGCUCAUCUGAGAGGCCGCCGCUCACCUGCCUGCACAUCUGCCACAGCUGGCCCUGGGCCCACCCCACGAAGGGCCUGAGCCUAACCUCUUGGCCUGGCCCAGCUUCCAGUGGGACCCUGGGCCAUGUCCCAGCUCCCAGACACUACAUGGGCAGCUCAGGGGAGAAGCCAGACCCCAGGUGCCUGCUCUCGUCUUUCUCUGGGUGGCCUCUGAUCUUGUACCCCGUCUUCAUCCCGAAGAUUGUGGGUCAUUCCUUGGGACUCUGGGUGAGUCUCUGCCCUUCUAGGCUGAGUGACUGAGAUGGGG